ACCCAAAGCCUUUUGUCAGGGUGGCAAUCGAUUUUACAUCGCAUAUCUACAUUGUUGCCUGUUACGUCUUUGGAAGAACAAUGCUAUCCGCCCGUGGUCCUGCUUUCGAGCAGAAUUCUUGUCGUUCUGACUUGAAUUUUGUCCACAUUUACCAAUAGUCUUUAUUGGUUUUUCAGGGUAGUAUCGGAAUCUUAUUGAGUUGGACCUGCUUUGAGACUUUUUAGUCUCUCUUUUAGGCUUGUCCGUAGUCUAGAAGCCGACAUCU
rnacentral:snoRNA from 1 species